CUCAUACUCCCUUUGUCUGGAAAUACUUGUCGGAGGAAUGGAUGUACUAGAUGUAUUUUUGUUAUGGGUAUAUCCACUUUUAUUCAUUUUUGCGACAAGUAAUUUUAGACGGAGGGAGUACAUU
rfam:Triticum aestivum genome assembly, contig: Triticum_aestivum_CS42_TGACv1_scaffold_019320_1AS